AGGAAAACCAGGGAGCUUUUUACCCAAAGAAGGGAAAGUGGAUGCUCUGCAAACAAAAAAUCUAUGGACAUCCAUGACACCAGUAAUGCUCAAUAUACUUUAGCUGCUUGACCAAAAGUUAAAGAACUUUGGGGGUCAUUGAAGCUCCAGAAUCAUGCCUUUAAGAUAGUGAUUCUUUAUCUUAAAACUCUUUCCCCCCCUGAGCACCAAUCUCAGAGGUUCUGAUUCAGUUGAUCUGGGGUGGGGUCUGCCCAGCACAGGGUGUUAAGUGCACCCAGGAGAAUGUAAUAUAUGGGGCUGAAAACCACUGCUUUAAGCUAAUGCACAUGCUUGGCUGGUGCCCACAAAGCUCUUAACUAUAGCACCACAUCCUUUAAGACCCAAGGAAUGAUGAGGAAGUCGUGAUUUUAUGAGAAGCUUCAAUGCAGAAUUUGAAAAUCUCUCCUAUGUUAUUCCUUCCAAUGUCCCAUGUGUUAAAACAGGACUCUGGUGGUAGCUUAAAAAAAAUGCAGGAUAGAACAGAGCCUGGAGGUGUGUAUAUGUCUGUGUGUGUGUGUCUGUGUGUCCUUGCCCCUUGUGAUUAUACAAAAUCUUGCUUUGGGUGGUUAAAUCAGCAGCACAAAUGACUCAGGAACUUAACUAGUGCUGAGUCAUGGGCCUCCUUGGUAUUUCAGCUUUCUUCACUCCUGCCCCAGUUUGUGUUGUCCACACACAUCAGAUGAAAGGUUGUGAGUACUUAAUGUCACCAGUGACAGACAGCUGGAUAUCAUCUGCCUCCAGAAACAAUAUCCUGAGGAUACAAUUCUCUCUGCUCUGCAUUCCAGCCGAGAGCGUUUAACCUCUUUCUCAUCGUGAGGAAACAUUAGACAAACACAAACCGAGGAACAUUCUGUUAUUGUGGGGCAGGGGACACAGGAAGGAUUUUGGCCUUCAAAAAUUCUCAUAUCACGAAAGACAAAGAAAAGCUCUGGAAACGCUCCAGGUCAAAGAAGGCUAAAAAGACACGACAGUGAAAUGCAAAGACUGUCCCUCGGCAGGGCCCUGGAGGGAGGAAGUCAAAAAGAACAGCAGACGGCUAACUGAUGACAUGGGAGUAUGGAUGAGAAUGAAAGAGUCGCAUCAGCACAAAGGUCCACCUGUGGCAAGGCGUCUUGGUUGAGUCAGGACCUUGGUGCUCCUACAUCAUCACCAUGGGCUGGAGCGGCUCCAAGGAAGUUUGUUCAUGAAUCUGAACAAUCUCACUCUGCAGGGAAGAGGAGGCUGAGGCUGGGAGGACUUUGCUGGGGAAAUUCAGUGUAUUAACUGGAGUUUUACAAGGCCCCUGGUCCAGGGAGAAGUGUUGUUUCUACUGCAUAUCAGCAAACAACCAACCAGAGGAUAAUGCAAAUGAGUAAGAAGCAUGUUGCAUGGGAACACAAGGACUCUAACCAUCAUCACCAAUGGCCCCAAAUCAUCAUAAGAGCAUUAACUAAGAUUCACUAAGUGCCUACUCUGUGCUGGGCUCUGGUCUGUGUCUUUGACCUGCAUGGGAUCCACAGAUCCUCUCAAAAAAAAAAAAAAAAUCAUAUGGAAUAGAAGCUGUUAUCAUCCUUUCAGCUAUGGAAACGAGGUCUAGAAGCAAUAACAAGCCUCAGCUUACAUACUUUAUAAGAAGCAGGAGUUCAAACUCGGGAGUCUCACAACACCAAAUCUUAGCCACUGUUCUCCUGGCCUGUCAAUCAACCCAGCGUCAGGCAAACUGGCCUUUGAUUGUCACUGAGUUGAUGAUGCUAAUUAUCGUACCUUCCUUUCUGGGGCUUUGAGCGUUUCUAUUUUGAGAGAACCUUCACAGUCCUCUGACAAAAUUUUCCACUUUUCAAAACCAGGUGUUUUCGUGUCAAGUCCUGAGUGAUGGAAAGAUUUCUCGUCACAGCUGUGAGAACGUAACCAGUAGAGAGCCACCAAGGAUACGAACGGGGCUGCAGAGUAGAUUGCUAUCAGCUCGGGGUCAGAGCCCCACGUGCACCUUCCCCGGGCCACGUGGUGCUGGGGAGGAGGGCGUCUCCCCGAGCAGGUGCUUCCCUUCAGUCACUGCCCACCCCCCACACGGAGAGGAGGGGAGGCUUAUCCGGCAGGUAAAUUUGGGAAGAACUGAGCUGUGCCCUGCUCCUUGUACCCUUCCUUGUUGGGGGGGCAGAGGAGGGGGCUGUUCUCUGCUCCUGGAUUGGAAUUGGAAGAUUCACUUUACUCUGGGGUCAGUGUUGGGAAGCCCAGGGGCCCACAGAUAGUGAGACUGACCAGCAAUAAAGGUGGCGUUUUGGCUCCCAUCUGCGCCACAGACUGGAUGUGUGUCCUUCCCCUGCUUACAUGCACAUGUUGAAACCUAACCCCCGAUGAGACGGUAUUAGGAGAUGGGGCCUUUGAGAGGUGCUUAGGUCAUAAGGUGGAGCCUGCACGAGUGGACACAGUGCUAGGACUGCUAGGACACAGACGUCAGCAGCUGCGAAGAGGCCUGGCCUGGCCGUGCUGCACCCUCAUCUCUGCCUUUCAGCCUCCAGAAUGGUGAGAAAGACACUUCCUUUGCUUAUCAGUCACCCAGUCUAGGGUUUUUGUUACAGCAGCCCAGAUGGACUAAGACCACCUGCUCAAUCGUUUGUUUCUCAGAUGAAUAAGAACUCUCUGCCAGGGAAGAGACCUUCCCCAAAACCCCUCACGGGGGACGCUGGUUUUAGUGAUGUCUGCUUUCUAAGUGAGAGCCAUGAUUCAGGAUUGGAGAUGGUGUUUCUUCUCAGUUCUUCGUCCCACAUUUACUUGCUUGGCAUCUGCUCUGUGCCUGGCACUGCACCGGGCACCCUUUAGAUAAGGAUGAGCCCUGAAAAGUGGGAGCAGACGGCUUAAUGGAGCCUCGUUGUGACUCACCCCAGUGGGAAGGUUGAGGCACCUGCCUCGGGGGAAUCCACAGCCAAGAUAAAGCAUCACCCACCAGGCGUGGGGAUGGUCGAGCGUCACCAGAAUGAUGCAGGGUGGAAGGCACACGCCACAGCUCCCUCACUCUAGAAGGAUGUUUUUGAGAAGUCUACCUGCUCCCCAGAGGCAUGGGGCAGCCUAGUUCUCUCUUCCCCUCUUUUCUUUCUUCGCUCUCAAUUCCCCAUCUGUGAGUCACUCGGUAUCAGUCCACUAAACUCUUCUCAGCCCAUGUCAGCAGGAACCAGCUGGCUUUGUGGGGGAAAAUACCAACCCAGCUGUCUGCACAAGGAUGGUAAGAAUUAGAACCUUGGGUCCCAUACCUCCAGCUCACAUCUGGAGAAACUGAAGGGGAGACUUUGAAAUUUGGGGUCAAGGAAGCCUUGUAGCUUUUUGAUUAACAGCACGAGUUCUUGAGUCACCUGGCCUGGAAGAAAAAGCCCGCCUCGGCCGUUUAGUUACUGAUUGAUUUCGACCCAUCACUUCACUCGCCAAGCUUCAGCUCCUCCUCUCUGACUAUAGGACAAGAUCAGUACCACGCUCCUAAGGCCAGCGAUGCUGCAAAAUGCAUAAUAACCUUUGGUUGUUAUUUUAGUGAUGAUUCUUCUAGAUUUCUCCUGAGAAGUCAUGCAAAACAGGAAUGUGAAUUGCAAAAAAGAUGCUGAGCAGGAAGGCACCAAAGAAAGCCUUUCUCCAAAGGGGAUGUUUAUUUCAGAGGCACACAGGGGGAAGCUCCACCAGCUGUUUUCCAGGAAAUCAUCCACUUCACCCAGGGUGGGGAUAUGGACAAGACAGAGUCCCGACCUCCCUGGGAAACUGGUGUGAGGAAGUCCAGUCAGCAACACAACUGAGAGAGACCCCGCCGUGCCCAGUAGUGCCAGGCAUAGUGAAGUUAAGGUGAUGGGGAGGGGUGACCAUUGGAGGUGAAGGGACCUGAGAGUGGAGACCAGGACAGGGGAUGGGAAAGCCAAGUCCCUGAGGAAGGGAUGAGCUUAAUAAGUUUGAGGAACAGAAAAAAGGUGACUCCAGAAGGCUUGCCCACAGCUGGGUCUUACAAGGGAUGGAAGCCCUUAGACCUCAAGGAGGGAUCGUGUGGCCUCCUGAUUUCCGUUUUUAUAGGCAGCUUUGGAGGAUGGAUUAGCAGGAGAGGGAGGCGAGCGCUGGAGUAGGAAACCCAACUGGCAGCCGGUCCACCGCUGUCCAGCAAAUCUGGUGUUGACUCGGAAGGUCAGUGGAGACGGAGGGAGUUGAGAGAUGUGGGAUCUGCUUUGGAGGCAGAGACAACAGAAUGGGAGAAAGGAAUCCAGGAUGACGCCGACGUCUUGGGGAGGCGCUGCUGAGGAGUGUGAGUGAGGUCCCGCCUGACCCCAGCUAGUGGGCUGCUGCCUUCUUCUGGCUUCCGUGAGUCAAAGGGACAUGAAAACCACAACAUGAGGUUUAACUGCGAAGCCCCGCUCCCCGCCCAUCCCCUUCGCCUCUUGAGUUUCAUUUUACUGGUCCCGUCCCAACAGAUGGCUCUUCUUAAAGCAGCAUCGCCAGUGUGUAUGCAAUGACAGGAGAGCCAAUUUUAUUCUCUCCUGGAAAUUAAUUUCUCUUCCAUUUCUCUCUUCCCCUCCACCCCUCUCUCUGUUCCUGUGAUGAUUUCUUUCGGAAAUAGUUCCCCUUGCACGCGAUCUCCACAAACCUCUGAAUCCCCGCAGAUGGAGCAAGGCUGCUCUUGUGAGGGAACGGAGGGCAGGAGGCAUGUCCUGGGCUCUGCGGUUUUGCUCCUGAAGGAGGAGGACAUGGGGACAGCUCUAGGACUAAGGGUUCAUCUUUUCAUCUAUGUUUACUUCUCAGGAGACCCCAGCCCCAUGGUCUUAAAUUUUUCAUUGAAGUAUAGUUGGUUUACAAUGUUCCUUCAGUUUCUACUGUACAGCAAAGUGACCCAGCCACACACACACACACACACACACAUACACAUACAUUGUUUUUUUUUUUUUUCUUCAUACUAGCUACUAUGUUUUUUGCCUCCUUGGCUCUGCACAUGUGUUCUCUACAUAAUAUUAAACAGUAACCUUUGUGUCUCCCACAUUCUGGGGUGCUCCAGACACACAUACCACAUUUUUCAACCACGCACACAUGCACGCACAAGAGUGGAACCCGUACUGGCUGACCCAGGGCAAAAUCAAACAACUUUUAACUGCUACCUUUUUUAACACCUUAAUUGAGACAUAAUUUACGUGCCAUAAAAUUCACCCAUUUUAAGUGUGUGAUUCAAUGGCUUUUUAAGUUUACUGAGUUGUAUCCUGGCUGUUUUCUUUCUUGCAAACGGAGCCACUGGAUGAACACUCUCACCCCCUGAGCUCCCUCCCCACUUGGAAAUGUGACAGUUAAAGAGCAGGUUCUGUUUCACCCCCCCCCCCAAGUAGUUUUUAUUCAUUCUGCCAUUUACAACUUACUUCCUGUGUUUUGAUUCUGAGCUGCUCAGGCCUACUUCUUAGAAGCCAAGUGGAUUAGUUUUUACACUGUCAAGAAGUUUCUCUUGUGUCAGAGGAGUUUUCUGGGUUUUUUGUUUGUUUUGUUAAUCUUCAGAUCUUUGCUUCAUCUGCUGAGGUAAUGACAGAGAGACCUGAAAAUGUUAUCUUUGUGAUAUGAAAGACUAUACAGAAAUAUUUGGUAUUUGGAGCUCAACUAAAAGGUUCAUAGCAUUCUGACUGUUGGGAUUGGUGGAAGAAAAAAAAAGAUAUUUAGACUAUAAAUAGGGCAUGGAGGCCUAGAACUUUUUCCUAAUAUUAAAAUCUGCAUAUAUAGAUUUCAGUUUUGACAUCUGUUUUCUCAUUUGAAAAACAGACAUGAAAAUAACCACUUUAGGAGAUUUGCCUGAGGAUCACAUGAUUCAUGUGAAAACAGCUAGAAUGCUAAUGAUUUUUUAAAUCUAUAAAUGUUCAUGGAACACCAAUCUUGAGGAACUUCACUAAUGGAAUAAGAAUACUGUUUUGGCCACGGUAUGUUAAUAAAAGCGAAGGGCCUGCUACUGGAGAGUAUGUACCAGUUUAGCCAAUCGCUCACUAAGGAGGUAAUGAGGCUUGCUGUGUGCCAGGCCCCAGGGACUGAGUGGUGGACAGGCAGGCAGAGUCAGGUGGCAGACAGGUGUCUAACGUAGAGCUGAGCAAAGAAGUACGUACGAACUGUGCAAGUGCUGGGGAAGAAACUAUUCUGGGGUAUGUGUGUGUGUUUGAAGCAAUUUAAGAGAAUGCAUUUUUUGCUAGUAAAUGUAUAUACCUAUAGGCCGAGAAAAAUUUCCUGGAACAAUUCACGAGGAAUUGGUGACGAGGGUUUCUUUUUGUGACAGGAACCAGAAAGGGAGAGAGAGGGACAUCUUCUGCUUUUGAUUCUAUAACUUUUCCGUACAUUUUGAAGUUUCUAACUAUAGGCACAUAUUUUUAUUAUGUUUUUUAAUAAGUUUAUUUAUUUAUUAUUUUGUCUUUUGAGGGUCGCACUCGCAGUCUAUGGAAUUUCCCAGGCCAGGGGUUGAAUUGGAGCUGUAGCUGCCGGUCUACGCCACAGCCACGCCAGAUCUGAGCCACAUCUGUGACCUACACCACAGCUCAUGGCAACGCCGGAUCCUUAACCCACUGUGCAAGGCCAGGGAUCAAACCUGGGUCUUCAUGAAUACUAGUCAGGCUUGUUACCCCUGAGCCAUGAUGGGAACUCUCUAUUAUUUGUUUUCUUAUUUAAAUAUCAGCAGGGCUUUUCUGAUCAAUAAGCUGAGAAUCCAUUUUUAUCUUCUUCAUUAGAUUUUAUUUAAAAAAAACCUGUUAAAGUGAAUAAAUGAUUAACUGCCUGAAAUAUUUAACUUGCCAUGCCAAGCCAAUUAAAUAUAAUGUUACACUUGAAAAGACAAAGGUCAUUUAAAGAGUGCAAGAAUUCCUCAACCCACACCAAACUGCUACCAGCCUGCUAGUGCCCACAAAGUUUGCCCGGACAAUAACCCUUUUAUUCAACAGAUAUCUGAGUGCCUACUGUGUACCAGGCAUUGUUCUGAGUACCAGUAGAUAAAACAAAGCUCACAGGGAGUCACAGACUAGAUUCAAGUUGGAGGAAACACAAUUAGUAAGUAGACAUUAUAUACAAACAUGUAACAAGUGCUGCAUUGAAAAAUUAAAGAAGGGCUGGGUGGCGAGUGACCGGUGGAGAUGGAGGGUGUGCACAGAACACAUGCCACAGUCGCAUCACUGCAGAGAAAGGUCAGGAGGCCUGAGGAGGCAGAGACUUCAGCAGUGACCUGGAUGGAGGCAAGGAAGGGAUGAGCCACACCAAGAGCUGAAGGACGGACCAGGAAAGGCCCUGAAAUGGGAGAGCUGGAAACCAUUAUCGGUCUUAAGGAACAGGAUCCUGGGACGCGUUGUGUGCAGUCUGCUCUGAGACGCUGACCAGCAGGAGCGCACUCUGACAGGUAAGGGCAUCUCGGCGCUACCUAAAACAGCUAACAAGCCCUAGCUCACCGUCUCAUCAUACUUGGGAACACACUUCUCUACCAGCCUCACUUGUGCAAACAAAAGGCUGGCUGUAAGUUAUCUCUGAGUUCUUUGAUUCAUUCUCUUUCCCCUUCUCUUAGAUUUUCAAUUCUAACUCUAUGACUUCUGACUGAAAUAAUGAAUUGUAACCAGUGACUUUCAUGUCACUGACUGAGCACUAAGUUACUCUUCCUCCUUCAAACAAGAUUCUGGGGGUGGGUUGAUCCAGAACGGUGGCUCUCAACCAGAGGCAAUCCAAACCUGGCCAGUGACGAUCCCCCCUUCUAGGGGACAUGUGAUGUGGCAGCAGGGUAGGAGGAGGGAAAGCUGCUUGUCAUGACUGCAAACAGGGUGCUGCUGGCAUGUGGUGGUCCAGGCCAGGGAAGCUGAUAAACACCCCACAAGGCACAACAAUCCCAAUGUCAGCAGUGCCACGAGAUGAGACCCUCAGCCUUGAGAAACUGGAAAAGAUGAAGAGAGGAGAAAAUGAGCAGAGGGCACUGCCUGCUUAUGUCCAUGUGCUUCUUUUCCACCUCAGAAACAACACAGCAUCUUUUGUCGUCUUUGAUGCUGCCUCUCCCGUAUUGAUUACGCUUUAUUAUUCCUGAAGACUCGGGUGUGUGACGUAAGUAACCCUAUGUCGGACCCAAGCCCAGUAGGAUAAACGAAAACGGGAGGGCAAAUUGGAACAUGUACCGUAACAACGAGAGCAUUCUUUCUAUGACUUGAAAAAGUCUUCAGAUCCUUGGUUUAAUUUAAUCAGCAAUACGUUCAUCUGCAUAUGGCAUUUAGCAGCAAAGUAAACUUUUUUUCCUGAGUCAUUUGUUUCCAAAUCAGUGGGAACAAAGGAUAUCCCAGUUCCAUUCAAGCAGCUUCAAUGAUUCUCAAACAAACGUGGGAGUCAUAGCUGAGCCAUUUAAAAUAUACAGUGAUGAGAAAGCAUACUUGGUAAUCUUGUCAACAUUCCUUUAAGGAGAAUAUCCAAGUGUCCUUUUACUAUAAUAACGCUUUGUACUUUGAAAUGUUCAGAUGUCAAUAAAAUAGAAUUGAACACAACAGCCUAGAAGAAUGCCGUUUCCAAGUUUUCUAGUAAUGGUGCUGUGAAAACAGUAUGUAUUUUUCAGUUUAACACUCCGAAAAUCAAAUUUCCUCACCCCAAGAUUGGCUCCAUUUACACAAAAGCACUUUGGACCCAUAUUUAACCAACCAUCAAAAGUGAUUCAAAAGAAGGCUAAUUGAACACUGAGGUUUUUGAAGCUCUCAAAUGAUGACCCAGGUUUUUUCUUGAAAACACUCACAGCGGCAGCUUGGCAGGAAGCAGGAAUGAAACCUGCCCUCCAAACUGGAAGAAAAACUUCCAAUAACAAACUGCGAGGUUUGAGAUCACUGCAUGUUAUAUUAUUCAUUAUUCAAAUGGCCUCUAGCCCUAUUACACAGCCUUUUCUCUGGCGUCUGAGCUGCCCCAAGAAAUGUACUUUAGUAAGACCGAGCCCCCCUUUCAGAGGAAAGGAGAACCUCCUUAUCUCCGCUUUCUGCCUCCCUGUCUCUGCGUUCUAUCUGUUCUAUCUCUGUUCCAUCUGCGUGUUUUGCAAUCUCCUCAGUGUUCCAAAGGCCAAUGAAAUCUCUCUCCCACAGGGGUACUCAGCCAAGUACAUUCCCUGCUCGACUGUAUUUUUCUGCUUCUUAGCCCUUCCCCUCACUGAUUUCAAAUUUCUCUUUCAUAGGCCAGCGAUGGCAGACCUCAACCAAAUAAAAGUUAUGCAAAGGCAAGCUGGAAAAUCUGCACAGGGGAGAUUUCACCAAGAGGAGAGGGGCCUGAUAUUUUCCGUCUAAAUCCUUAGGCCUCACUCCAGCCUACAAAGACAAGUGGCAGGAAACUUAACAGCGAUAAUCAAAUGAGCUCAGCCAGCCUCGGGAUGGUUCUUGUAAGAACUGUGUGUGUGGAGAAGGGAUGCAGGCUUUCUGCCCAGGAGAACCUAGAGAGAAAAAACUGCUCUUCCCAAAAUCCCUGAGGUCUGCUGCCAGGGGCUCAGUACAUGCCUGACCAAAAAGAGAAAACUGCCCACCUAACCGGUUCGGCUGUUUCCUGGCUACUACGGACAGAAGCAGACAGAACCUUAUCAUUUCAGUUAUGUCUAACUUGGACAUUAUUUUCAAGUAAAUAUUGGUAAUUUCAAGGCUCUUUCCUUGCCGUGUGACCUGGCGUGACGGACAAUGCUGUCUCCGAGGAAGCUGACUCCAUAGCAACAAGCCAGGGAAGCCUGCACCUUCCACCCAGGGGGCCUCCCACGAGCAUUUUGGAGACUCGGGACUUUGCAGUUAUCUUGUCAGGGGGUGGCUGAGGGAAGAAGCUUCUUCCUUUGCCCUCUGGGCCCCUCCCAGCGGUCUGGGUUUCUGUGGAUCACUCUGUGCUUCUCAAUGAAUCCAGCGCUGGGCAUUUUUCUCUUUUCAUUCAGGAAGUGGUGAGCUGAGCCCUGAGAUUCUUUCUGCUCCGAUGAUAUAAACAAAUUGUAGAGGAAGUCAAGUCAAAUUUUCCCUUGCUGGUUUUGUUCUCCCAACUAGCAAUUCAGAAAACAGAGCCAACUUUUUUUUUUUUUUUUGGAUGCCUUUUAAAGAUUGCUGUUAACUGGAAAGACAAGAAACCCUUGUAGUUUUUUUAAAAAAAAAAAAAUACUAAAUUUAUUUUUCAGAAAAGAAAUACCUUGAAGGUUAACGCUUUCUUUUCUUUUUUUGGUUUUUUUUUUUUUUUACUUUGCAGACCAGAGUGCUCCCUUGACAUGAGUUUCACCUAACUGUUGUUCUUUCCUUCAAGUGUCAACCAAAAGAGCAAUGAUGAGCUUGGCGUGGGCCAUGGCUGAACCCGACUGGAGACCUCUGCGGCCCUCACACACAGCCACGGGGAGCUCACAGCCAUGAUUCAGUACGGCGCACAGCAGACAGAGAGGAGACACUUACCUGUAUCAUCUACAGAUACCGCUUGAAAAAUCACACGUAAUUAGGCCCUUCUCACAGGGGAAGCUACUCGAAGCUCUAUCACCAGCUGGUAAGAUGGCAUCUCUGGGUUUCACUGGUGGUUCUGUGAACAUUUCCAGACCAGAGGCACCUGACAAUCCAGGUGACAUGUUUACCACGCCUCUCCUAGUCCUCUAAAAACAGCAGCUCCACGCUACCUAACUGAAGGAAAACGCAAUGGUGGGAGAUGUACUGACAUCUGCAGGGUGGCCCUGAGGUGGCUUCCCCCCCAGACUGUUCUGCUCCAUUAAUCCUGGUGCAAGAAAUAAGGUGUCGUGGUCACUAGGUGCCACCCCUGCUUGUCCUCCAUUGGCCCUUGCUGUACACAGGUGGGUAGUCAACCUUCGAAACAGCCCAAUUGUCUAGUGAAGCACGUAAGAGUUCAAAUACCAGCUCAAGCUACUUCCUGCACCUCCCUGCUCCCUUCUGCAGUGAGGAUAUGUUUUAACACGGCAGUACAGUUAUAUGGGUUAAAAAUAACAGACACAGCUCACCCCAAUGUGUGGCCUGUGUUAGGCUCUCAAUUAUAGGUAGUUAUGAUUAAAAUUCCUAACACUGAGUUCGCCUGGGUCAGGAAAAACUAGCAUGGGUAGAAUCUGAACUGGAUGGUGUCUGCAAAGUUAUUUCUAUGUCAGAACAUGUUUGUUCAAUCACGAUGGUCCCCGCCCUCCUUAUCUACGAAUAUAUAUAUAUACUGUAGAUAUUUAUAGACUAAUAGGUAUAUAAAAUCAGUUAUGCAAGUUGUAAUUGACUGUGCAAUUACUGAGUAAACAGUAGAUGAAAGGAAAAUGUGAGGAUGUGAGAGCUGGCUUUAAUUCAUGUUUUAUCUUAUAUUCAUUAAACUGUUUAUUUACUUGUCUACACUCUCCUCCCUGUUGAUUAUUUUCCAGGCAUACAUUUCCCUUGAGCAACGUCAGAUGAGAAAGUGAUUUCAUUUCCAUCACAGGGGAGAAGACAAACAGAAGACCCAGAGGCAGCGACUUGCUUGGAGGCCUCCAAGGCUGUCAGGAAGCAGGAUGCAAGCAGAGCCUUGAAACAUGUUUGCACCACGGGUCUGGCUCUUUUUGCACUGGCCAUGAGAAGCGGCUGCCUAUUUAUCCAAAAAGGAUGAAAGACACCUGGAGCAGACCUGGAUGCAACCCACAUCUUGAAGUCCUGACGAGCCUGGAUCACCUGAAAACCAGCCAACUUGCAGAUGCUGUUGUGAGAAAAUUGAGGAAUGAAAAGGAUACGUGACUUACCCAACUGCCGACCUGCCUCUGCCUUGGAAGUGCGCUUACGGCCUAUUUCCCCAGGACAGCUAUCCUUUCCUUCCUUUGGACCUGUUCUCAGGCCUUCAGACUUGGGUCCUGGACUGGAACUAACUGGGCUUUCCUGGACCUCCAGUUUGCAGAGGGACUUAACCUCUGAAACCAAAUUGUUUGCAUACACAGUUACUUUUAAAAAUAUACACAGGAGACGGGAUUGAGACAGUGGAGUAGAAGGAGUAAAGCUCGCCUUCUCUCAUGAAAACAACAAAAUUACAACCAACGGCUGAACAACCUUCAACAAAACAGACUGGAAACUAUCAAAAAAGAUAUCCUACUCCAAAAGACAAAUAAGAGGCCACAUUGAGAUGGUAAAAGGGGUGAUUAUGUGAUAUAAGCAACUCCAUACCCACUGGGGGGAUAGCCCACAGACUGGAAAGUUAACUGUAUCACAGGGGCUCACCCACGGGAGUAAGGGUUCUGCGCCCCAUGUCAGGUUCCCAUGCUUGGGGAUCUGGCAUUGGGAGAGGGAGCCCCGGGAGCAUUUGGCAUUGAAGGCCAGUGGGGCUUACACACAGGAGCUUCACAGAACUGGGGGAAAUGGAGACUCCACUCUUGAAAGGCGCACACAGGCUUUUGUGUGUUUGGGUCCAAGGACAAAGCAGAGACUCCAUAGGAAUCUAGGUCAGACUUGCCUGUGGUUCUUGGAGGAUCUCCUGGGAAAACAGUGGGUGACUGUGGCUCGUUGUUGGGCAAGGAUACUGGAGGCAAAUGUCUCAGAAAUAAUCAUCAGCAUGAAUUCCUCUAGAGGUGGCUGUUUUGCAAAAAUUUAGCACCAGGCCAGAGAACAAACCCAGUGGGAACACAGCCCCACCCAUCAGCAAACAGGCUACCUAAAGGCCCGCCCCCACCCAGGCACAUAGACUCCUCUAAUCACACCCACAGACAAAGCCCCACCCACCAGAAGGACAAGACUCAGCUCCACCCACUAGGGGGCAGGCACCAGUCCCUCCCAUCAGGAAGUAGGCAGCAUGCCCCCAUACCAACUUCAGCCACCCUCAAGGGGGGCAGACAUCAGAAGCAAGAGACUACAACCCUAUUACCACACUAAAAAUCUAUACAAAAUGAAAAAGGCAUAGAAUUAGGACUCAGAUAAAGGAACAAGGAAAAAAAAAAAAAAGACAGCUAAAUGAUCUG